UUCUUAUCCAGAGAGGUGGAGGGACUGGCCCUUUGAAGCCUCAGCAGCAGAUCUUCUUCUGAAGAAACUGUGCUAAUUCCAGCGGGUGAUCAAACCUGAUAGAUAAGCA
rnacentral:ncRNA from 3 species